rnacentral:rRNA from 1 species
ACGAACGCUGGCGGCAUGCCUAAUACAUGCAAGUCGAACGAGAUCUUCGGAUCUAGUGGCGCACGGGUGCGUAACGCGUGGGAAUCUGCCCUUCGGUUCGGAAUAACAGUUAGAAAUGACUGCUAAUACCGGAUGAUGACGUAAGUCCAAAGAUUUAUCGCCGAAGGAUGAGCCCGCGUAAGAUUAGCUUGUUGGUGGGGUAAAGGCCUACCAAGGCUACGAUCUUUAGCUGGUCUGAGAGGAUGAUCAGCCACACUGGGACUGAGACACGGCCCAGACUCCUACGGGAGGCAGCAGUAGGGAAUAUUGGACAAUGGGCGAAAGCCUGAUCCAGCAAUGCCGCGUGAGUGAUGAAGGCCUUAGGGUUGUAAAGCUCUUUUACCCGAGAUGAUAAUGACAGUAUCGGGAGAAUAAGCUCCGGCUAACUCCGU